rnacentral:rRNA from 1 species
AGAGUUUGAUCCUGGCUCAGGACGAACGCUGGCGGCGUGCUUAACACAUGCAAGUCGAGCGGAAAGGCCCUUCGGGGUACUCGAGCGGCGAACGGGUGAGUAACACGUGAGUAACCUGCCCCUGGCUCUGGGAUAGCCUCCGGAAACGGGGAUUAAUACCGGAUAUUCACUUCCUUCCGCAUGGUUGGUGGUGGAAAGUUUUUCGGCCAGGGUGGGGCUCGCGGCCUAUCAGCUUGCUGGUGGGGUGAUGGCCUACCAGGGCGACGACGGGUAGCCGGCCUGAGAGGGCGGGCGGCCACACUGGGACUGAGACACGGCCCAGACUCCUACGGGAGGCAGCAGUGGGGAAUAUUGCGCAAUGGGCGGAAGCCUGACGCAGCGACGCCGCGUGCGGGAUGAAGGCCUUCGGGUUGUAAACCGCUUUCACCAGGGACGAAGCUGACGUGACGGUACCUGGGGAAGAAGCGCCGGCUAACUACGUGCCAGCAGCCGCGGUAAU